rnacentral:rRNA from 1 species
UCGCGUUUCUAUCUCUCGUUAGACGAUCCUUUAUUGCGUAUUUUUGCAGGUGAUCGUCUACGUGCCGUAAUGGAUCGCUUGAAGAUGCCCGAAGGCGAGCCGAUUGAGGCGGGAAUGGUAACGCGUUCAAUUGAAUCCGCUCAGCGCAAAGUAGAAGGACGUAACUUUGAUAUUCGUAAACAACUGCUUGAAUACGAUGAUGUCGCUAACGAUCAACGCAAAGAGACCUAUCGACUUCGCAAUCAGAUUCUUGAAAGUAAAGAUAUUGGUGACUUGAUUGCCAAUUUAUGCGAAGACGUUUUUACAGCAAUUGUUCGCAAUUACGUUCCAGUGGAAUCGAUGGAGGAGCAGUGGGAUAUCCCCGCUCUCGAGCAUCUCUUGGCAAAUGAAUGGGGAAUUACCGUUGAUCUUCAAGGGUGGAUUGCCAAUGCUGAUACGGUCGAUGACGAAGAAAUCGUAACCCGGGUGAUUGAAGCGGCAAAGAAGAAUUACAAGGCUAAAGAGGAGCUCACGGGCCGUGAGUCGUUUGCUAGCUUUGAGCGUUCGGUGAUGCUAUACAGCUUAGAUAUUCACUGGAGAGAGCAUUUGGCUGCCUUGGAUCGACUGCGCCAAGGAAUUCAUUUGCGCGGCUAUGCCCAAAAAGAUCCAAAGCAAGAGUAUCGUCGUGAGGCAUUUGAGCUCUACGCAGAACUUUUGGAUGUGGUGAAAACGAUGUGGGAAGGCAUAGACAGCUAGGAGGUUGGCUUAGAAGCAGCCAUCCUUUAAAGAAAGCGUAAUAGCUCACUAGUCGAGUCGGCCUGCGCGGAAGAUGUAACGGGGCUAAAAUCAUCCACCGAAGCUGCGGAUUCAUGCAUUGCAUGAGUGGUAGAGGAGCGUUCUGUAAGCCUGCGAAGGUGUGCCGGGAGGCAUGCUGGAGGUAUCAGAAGUGCGAAUGCUGACAUGAGUAACGAUAAGGGGAGUGAAAAACUUCCCCGCCGAAAGACCAAGGGUUCCUAUCCCAUGCUAAUCAGGGUAGGGUGAGUCGGCCCCUAAGGCGAGGCUGAAAGGCGUAGUCGAUGGGAAACGGGUUAAUAUUCCCGUACCGGCCAAUACUGCGAUGGGGGGACGGAGAAAGCUAGGCAAGCGCGGCGUUGGUAGUCCGCGUGAAAGUGUGUAGGUUGGGUGUUUAGGAAAAUCCGGACGCCUAAGACUGAGACACGAGACGAGUCACUACGGUGACGAAGUUGCUGACGCUCUGCUUCCAGGAAAAGCCUCUAAGCUUCAGGUAUUGGUGACCGUACCCUAAACCGACACAGGUGGUCAGGUAGAGCAUACCAAGGCGCUUGAGAGAACUCGGCUGAAGGAACUAGGCAAAAUAGUACCGUAACUUCGGGAGAAGGUACGCUCUUGUGUGUGAAGGACUUGCUCCGUAAGCAUAUGAGAGUCGCAGUGACCAGCUGGCUGCAACUGUUUAUUAAAAACACAGCACUCUGCAAACACGUAAGUGGACGUAUAGGGUGUGACACCUGCCCGGUGCCGGAAGGUUAAUUGAUGGGGUUAGCGCAAGCGAAGCUCUUGAUCGAAGCCCCGGUAAACGGCGGCCGUAACUAUAACGGUCCUAAGGUAGCGAAAUUCCUUGUCGGGUAAGUUCC